CUCCUUUGAUCAGCUGUCAGUCAUUAUAUCACAGCUGAGUCUCCCUGCAAACUGGCCAACUGCAGCUCCCACCCCGGCAAACCAGGAAGGACUUUUCUGGUCUGGUGUAAAGAUUUCCCUCCAAACAGUCACCAGGAAUACAGAAACCUGGAGACUAGACGACUGGCGGGCAGAGGUGAACUACCGUUUAUCUCGAGCUUACUUCCUGAUCACCUGAACUUUUCUAAACAGUCAAACUCAAGAACCAGGAAGAGCGGGAGAUGCAGGAAUGUGACCCAACCUGAUUGCAGUAUCUGCCAAUUCCUCCAGCCAAGAGGAGGGGGUUACAGGGAAAGUCAAGAAACAAAUACUAGCUACAGCUGAUUGGUGAUUCCACAUUCUUCAACAACAGACAUUGCAGAGAACUCAGGUGUCUGACCACACACAGGAGCAACAAUUCACACCUCUCCAGAUGUUUUUCCCGGGUACAAUAAAAUGUUCCCGUUGAGCUGCUGCUUACACCCCGGUGUGCUGAGAUGCCGUCACUCCAGCAGUCUUAGGAUUUAUCUUUAGAAGAUUUGAGAAAGACAACAUUCAUUAUAAUAACACGAUAAUCAUAAUUCCAUAAGUAUUUAUUUAUGUUUUAUUCCAUAGCUGUACCUCCAUCGGAUAGGGAAGGUGUGAUUCGUCUGUUCGUUCCUCGGAAUUGGGGCAAAAUCGAAUGUCCUCCGUCUAUAUUCUCUAGAAUUCUUGUGCCCUAAAUGCAGAAAAUAUCACAUUAUUGCCACUAGAUGGCAUUGAGGAGCAUACCUAUGAUAGUCAGCGCCAUCUAGUGUCCAUAAUGCAGUAUUUUCCUCCUUCAUAACUGAAUUGCAGAGAACAUAAAAUGUUACCCCAUCCACACAAAACAAAUUUACAUACAGUAUAUAGAUU